rnacentral:rRNA from 1 species
ACGGGAGGCAGCAGUGGGGAAUAUUGGGCAAUGGGCGCAAGCCUGACCCAGCAACGCCGCGUGAAGGAAGAAGGCUUUCGGGUUGUAAACUUCUUUUGUCAGGGAAGAGUAGAAGACUGUACCUGGCGAAUAAGCCACGGCUAACUACGUGCCAGCAGCCGCGGUAAUACGUAGGUGGCAAGCGUUGUCCGGAUUUACUGGGUGUAAAGGGCGUGUAGCCGGGGAGGCAAGUCAGAUGUGAAAUCUAUGGGCUUAACCCAUAAACUGCAUUUGAAACUGUUUCUCUUGAGUGCUGGAGGGGCAAUCGGAAUUCCUUGUGUAGCGGUGAAAUGCGUAGAUAUAAGGAAGAACACCAGUGGCGAAGGCGGAUUGCUGGACAGUAACUGACGGUGAGGCGCGAAAGUGUGGGGAGCAAACAGGAUUAGAUACCCUGGUA